ensembl:lncRNA
GAUGUACGAAACGAACAGAAUCCGGCCUGCUCUUUCAUAACUGCGUUGGCUCAGCAGGAAGUAAUGGUGUUCAAAACUUGCUUUCUCUUACUGAGUCUUGGAACAGCCUCCUGCACUGUGAGCAUUUUUGGAGGAGGAGAUGCCUGGGGCAGACUUCUCUAGAGAUCAUGAAAGAAAUGCAAUCAACCCCUUGUUUUCCAGUCACUGAAACCCAGCUAUCCUAUUUAUGGAUGUUUUAAAACAGCUAAAGUCACUGCAGUGUAACUGCCAGGAUUGGAUUCUGAGUAUCAUAUCUUGGCUCAUCUGCAGGUUUGGGGACAUCACAUUAAACAUCAUGGAUUUUGAUGACUGCCCUCUCUGCUUCCAGGGGAAUGAUACUUUAUAGUUGCUGCAGAUGCAAAGUAUGUUAGGACACGAUCCUUUCAUGGACCUCUCACUGUAGGGCUGGGACAGACAUGACAACAUAUGACGUGUCCAAAGAGGGGUACAAAUAAGCUAUUUGGUUAUCACUAGUGUGAAGCACUUACCUGCCAGGAAAUAUCAAGAAAUUAUCUUUGGUGUUGAUAAGGUAUGCAACUUGAUGUUUUGAUGUAUGUGUACAUUGUGAAAUAAUCACCACGAUCAAGGUAACUUUUGACUACUUUCUUGAGAUCUUCACAUUGCUUCUGUAACAGAGCUAUACCAUACUGAAGAGAGCUUCGAAGUCAGAUAUACCUGGAAGCUGGAAUCUUAGGACAAUAAAGUCACCUAAGUUUCUGCAAGACAGGCCAUACGUGUUCACUAUAUUUCCCAAACAACUCUACAGAGUUCAUGACUACUAAAGAAAUCUGGAUGAUAAGAACCGCCUCUCAGUGUUGUAUUGAGAACUAGCUGAUGAGACUGAGGCUUAGAGAGGUGAAGGGAAUUGUCAAGCUGGGACUUCAAACCCCCAGUGCCUGCACUGUGUCACCGCUGCACCGCCACUGGACACACUCCAAUAGGGUCUCCUGGACUCCUUAAGGGGAGACUGCGAGUUGAAUAUUUUCUGGCAAAACAAAAACACCUGCCUCUUUAAAAUUCGACCCUAAUUGUAAAACAGUUUACUUCUCACUGCAGUACUAGGUAUCAUAUUAAUCUUUCGUUCUGACCUCAUUCUGGCAAGUCGUUUUGGAGAGAGGAAUAAAUAAUGUUCCCGUAAAUUGAUUUAUAUGAACUCUAGAGAUAUAGUACUAGCAAGAAAUACCAGGCCACGUCUUGGCCUCCGUCAGCAGAUCAAAGAUGUCUGUGUCCUAUUAUUUGUCUUCAUAUCAAGUUCAGAAUGAUUACUGAAAUGCUCACUUUCCUAAUAACACACCUUCAAUCAAGUCUCCUGCACUUUGACCUCUGCUGAUCUGGUCUCAAAUACAAUGCAAUGACUUCUCCCAACAGCCAGGAAACAACCAGUUGUAGGAAUCUGAACUUGAAGUGGAGGGUCAGGCUGGAACUGAGAAGAUGAGCAAUCAGAACAAGGAGGUUAUACUUGUAGACUUCCAAGUACUAAAAUGAACUCUGCAAAAAUACUCUAUUGUAGAGCCUCACGGGGCCCUGCCCCUUUCACUUCGAG